GUAUGUGUAGCUCAGUGGCAGAGCACUUGUCUUGUUAACCAGAGGUCGUGAGUUCACUCCUCAGAGCACUCA